UAGAGAUCUAGCUUGUAUAUCCUCUGAGAUAUGGUCAGAAAGUUUCUACCGGACCGCCGUAAAUGGUCCGACUAUAAGCAUGAUUU
rnacentral:ncRNA from 1 species